CGUCCUACGGGACGCAGCAGUGGGGAAUAUUGCACAAUGGGGGAAACCCUGAUGCAGCGACGCCGCGUGAAGGAUGAAGUAUUUCGGUAUGUAAACUUCUAUCAGCAGGGAAGAAAAUGACGGUACCUGACUAAGAAGCCCCGGCUAACUACGUGCCAGCAGCCGCGGUAAUACGUAGGGGGCAAGCGUUAUCCGGAUUUACUGGGUGUAAAUGGAGCGUAGACGGAAUGGCAAGUCUGAUGUGAAAACCCGGGGCUCAACCCCGG
rnacentral:rRNA from 1 species